AAGAAAUUGUAUUAUUGUAUUGCUCUAUUUAAUAUUUUUACUUUUUAUUUUAGAAAUGUUGAAAUAGUCUGUUCGACGACUAGGAGAUUGUUAAAUACAGAUUUUGUGUUAAUUUAACGUGUAGUGCAUUUAAAAUUAGUGUAUUAGUUGAAGUAAUUUAUAACUUAUUAUUUGAUUGUUUAUACAUGUGCUUCGUGCUGGUGUGUUUAAAAAAUAACUAAAAAAUGCCGGUGCCUUCAAAGGAUCAGUUGACGACUGGCACUCUCUUUAAACAGGAAUCCCUUCAAGCAAACAAGCUUUAAACACCGGUAGUGUGAGGUGUUGCAUGUAGUGGCAGUACGAGUCAGCAUAGAUCUUGUGUAUCUUUGUGGCAUCAUAGACCUUAUAAACUAAUAUGUGCGUCAUAGACAAAUUAUGAGUCAGACCGGAAGCAAAUUAAAUUCAUUGGUGUAAAUAACAUUAGCAUAUAAUACUUGUGCUAAUAAUAGAAUUUGUAUCUUACAAGUACCACUUGAAUUAUUUGAUGGACAAACUACAGUUUUAUCCUCGCAAGAAUGGAAAGUCGAAAGUACGGGAAAGGCGGUAAUGCUGGAAGUAAAGGGGUACAAUUCCAAGUCAGUUUGUUGAUUGUCUUUCUUUUAAACACUUUUAGAAGGCUCUCAAGUAUUUUUUUAUGAUGAAGCAAUUGAAGAUAGAUUUUCAUUGAGAAAUGAAAAUGAAAAUGAAAAUGAAAUGAAUGUAAUUUCACAUUUUGUAUCUUGAAGGAAGAAAUUUUGCUUGAAUUGAAAGGUAAAGCAAAGAUUUACUGUAGGCAGAAUUUGAAAAAUAAAGGAACCGACAAAUCGAUAAUUGAUGAAAAUAUGAAAGAUUUCCUAACACACGAUAGGACGCGGUAUGUGAUGGUUUAUUUCUGCGAGCG